rnacentral:rRNA from 1 species
AUGGCGACGGCGGAGCAGAAGGGGAAGAGGCCGAGGAUGGAGGCGGAGGAGGGCAACAGCAUCGACGACGCCCUACUGCUCUCCAUCGAGAAGCUCCAGGAGAUCCAGGACGAGAUCGAGAGGGUUAAUGAGGAAGCCAGUGAUAAAGUCUUGGAGGUGGAACAGAAGUACAAUGAAGUUCGCAGGCCAGUUUAUACUCGACGGAAUGAAAUUAUCAAGGAAAUUCCGGACUUCUGGUUGACUGCGUUUCUAAGCCAUCCUAUGCUUGGUGAACUUCUGACUGAAGAUGAUCAAAAGAUAUUCAAACACUUGGUGUCUAUCGAUGUGGAUGAGUUUCAAGAUAUUAAAUCAGGCUACUCCAUUACUCUUGCAUUCUCUUCUAAUCCAUAUUUUGAAGAUACAAAGCUUACAAAAACAUGUUCAUUCAGUGAUGAUGGGAAAAUAACUGUGAAGGCCACCACCAUCAAUUGGAAGAAUGGAAUGGAUAUUGCAAAUGGAAAGGCAUACACGGAGAAUGGGGAGAAACGACUAUUGAUUGAUGAGAGUUUCUUCACUUGGUUCAAUGAUGCAAAGAACAAAAGUUUUUCUGAUGGAGUGAUGGAUGAGGUGGCAGAUGUUAUCAAGGAAGAAUUGUGGCCUAAUCCUUUGAAGUAUUUUAACAAUGAGGCUGAAGAUGAAUUUGAAGAUGACGAGGAUGAAGAGGGAUUUGAUGAAGACGACGAUGAUGAAGAUGAAGAAGAGGAGGAAGAUGAUGAGGAGUGA